rnacentral:lncRNA from 1 species
CAUAUUUAGCUGUUAUGUACCUGUAAAUUGUUUUUACCUGUUAUGUAUUAAUUUAUUAAAUACAAAGGUAUCCUUUAUGAUCAUAGUUAUGAAUUUAUUAAUUUAUGAUCAUAUUCAGAGGCUGCGUAUUCAUUUCCUAACUUGUAUAUCAGUUAUAGACCAAGCUUGUCGAAGUGUUCUUUGAAGAAUUUCCUUUGCCGAUGAUGGAUAGAUACUUGAGUAGGACUUGUAUAGGGUAGUGAAUGCAAGUACACAUGCUACUUUGGAGGAUAUAUAAUCUUUUUCGUAGGACUGAUAUAAUUACUAUCUAUGAAAGGAGAAAUAAUUCAAAGGCAAUGAAAAGCUGGCAGAAGUAGAUGACAGUGCUAAUCAUUUAAAAAAGUAAAAAGAGGUAUAGUAAAAUGCAGGGACAAGGCCACAUAGUGGCUUAGAUAGAGGGGCAGUUGAACCCUGUUAAAUUUUGGUGAAAUUUUUAGGUAGGUUUUAAUUAACUUUUUUAAAAAUUAUAUUACGAAGCUGUAAUAAAAAAGUUUGACCCUCUUGAUAUUGAAGAAAAAUGAACUGAUAUUCAGUUUUGACCCACUUAUUUUUAAUUUAUUCAUUUUGUCUUUGCGCCUCUUUAUUAAAAUAUCUGGUCUCUUCCCUGGGUAGAGAGUCCUUUGAACACACUUUCAGUGCCAGACAUAAGGCCCCGAGAACCAUUGGUCUUAGAUCAGGGAUGAACUUUGCAUUGGAUUUUUGGUAUAUAGGUUGUACAUUUGCAUGCAGGUUGUUAUAGGCCUUAGAAUUUAGAUGCUGCCUGAUGAAAACUGGUAUAAGAGG